CAACAUUAGCCAAUCACGCGAUAGCGUCAUUUUUCUGGACAUCGUCGCUGUGUGAACAUCUGCUGGUGUGUUGGCGGCAUCUUUCUUCAUCCCAUCAAUAAGCUUUCUGCAUCAGAUCCUAUAUAAUAUUAACGUCAACCAAUUAGGGAAGAGGGACGGCCGUUGUGAAAUCGAAAUCUGCGCCCACCAUUAGAAAACAGCCUCUUCCUCACAUGUCCACAUACGACAUGCCCGUUGGGGGGUUGGGAUCACCCGACGACGACGGGUUGAGGCUGAGGUUACCCAACGACGACGGGUGGGAGGUUGGAACACCCGACGACGACGGGUUGAGGGUGAGGUUACCCGACGACGACGGGUUGCGGGUGAGGUUACCCGACGACGACGGGUUGCGGGUAAGGUUACCCAACGACGACGGGUUGAGGGUGGGACCACCCGACGACGACGGGUUGAGGGUGGGACCACCCGACGACGACGGGUUGAGGGUGGGACCACUCGACGACGACGGGUUGAGGGUGGGAUCACGGGCCAUCACCCGACGACGGGUUGACCGUUGAGGGUGGAGAUACCUAACGACGACGGGUUGAGGGUGACCACCCAACGCCUAACGCAUUACAUAUUAUAAAUAAUUUAUGCAGAUGUAAAUUAAAAUUUUUUUUUAU